CUUGCAUUCAUGUGUAUUGUGAUGUGAUUUUUUUUCUAUUGGAUUAAGUGUUGUUGUACUCGAAGUGAAUUGUUGAUUUGAUGAUUUGUUCAAUUGCUGAUUUGCUUGUAUUAAUGUAUCUGACCAAAAACAUCCAAUGCUUCUAGUAUAUGGAAUUUGGGCCAAUUUUAUGCUUAUGUGGUUGCUAGUUUCUGAUCGGUUGUAUUAAUGUGUGAUUGGUUGCUAGUUUAUGCAUCGGUCUAAUCGGCGACCGCUAGCUGAUUAUCAGCGAAUUCAGUUCGCCUCUACACCGCACAUAGGGUUUUUGGUGACAAGUGAUGGUGAAAGUAAACAAGGGAGUGAAGGCCCUGCUCUUCCGGAUGCCACCAACACUAUUUACAUUGUCAUGAAUAUUGCGACAAAACACUUUGAGGAGGUGAAAGAGAAGAGACUGAUAGAUGUUGAGAAGAUGGUUGCGGACUACAAGAAAUCGUGACCGAUGAAUGAUCUUUUUUUAGCUUAAAACAUUAGGUUUGGUUUCAGUGUUGGUUUUUGGUGUAAAUGAAUUGACUAAUAUUAUGAUUUGGUGAAUA